CUGGCUCAGGACGAACGCUGGCGGCGUGCUUAACACAUGCAAGUCGAGCGGUAAGGCCCUUCGGGGUACACGAGCGGCGAACGGGUGAGUAACACGUGGGUAAUCUGCCCUGCACUCUGGGAUAAGCCCGGGAAACUGGGUCUAAUACCGGAUACGACUUG
rnacentral:rRNA from 1 species